rnacentral:lncRNA from 1 species
ACCAGAGCUCUCGGAGAUCAACAAAGGUGCCGCUUUUGAAUGUGAAAGUUUUUUCAAGACUUUUCUAUUUCUUGGUUUGAAUCGUGUGCCUGUAGGGACACAUGCUACCUGCUUACUGGACAGUGACUACUUAGGAUAAGGACUCAGGCAAACACACAAGUGGAGAAGAUAAAUAGUAAUUUGGAACCAAAACUCAGGACGUCCCAGGAGAGGCUAGAUUAGGAAUUCUUUGAUUUGGGAUCACGAAAAUGAAGUAUCCAUAUUUUAACAGAAUGAUUAGUGGCAGAGGAAUCAUCUAAGAAAACUGAGAAGACUCUGCCAGAGUGAUGGGAAGAAAACUAGAUGAGAAAGCACCAUUCUGGAAGACAUGCUCCCAUGAACCAUGGAGAGAAGAGGAGAGGGAAGAAGUUAUUUGUGAUGUCAUUUGCCUGUGUCAUGGCCUGCCUUCCCUAGAUAUUGUCCUAAUGUGAGCAUCACACCUAAGGUACUGAAGUAGAGUUCUGGCUGUUCCUUACGGACAUCUCUGGUGGACCUCCAUCUGUUUUUGAUACAAGUCAGUCU